rnacentral:rRNA from 1 species
AACGAACGCUGGCGGCAGGCCUAACACAUGCAAGUCGAGCGCCCCGCGAGGGGAGCGGCGGACGGGUGAGUAACGCGUGGGAAUAUGCCCUUUGCUACGGAAUAGUCUCGGGAAACUGGGGGUAAUACCGUAUACGCCCUUUGGGGGAAAGAUUUAUCGGCGAAGGAUUAGCCCGCGUUGGAUUAGGUAGUUGGUGGGGUAAUGGCCUACCAAGCCGACGAUCCAUAGCUGGUUUGAGAGGAUGAUCAGCCACACUGGGACUGAGACACGGCCCAGACUCCUACGGGAGGCAGCAGUGGGGAAUCUUAGACAAUGGGGGCAACCCUGAUCUAGCCAUGCCGCGUGAGUGAUGAAGGCCUUAGGGUUGUAAAGCUCUUUCAGCUGGGAAGAUAAUGACGGUACCAGCAGAAGAAGCCCCGGCUAACUCCGUG